AGUGACGGACGGGGUCAUCAGCCAACCGCAGCCCGGGCACGACGCAUGCGUCCACAGAAGCUUUAGCCCUAGAUGGGGAAAAAAAGCCGCGGGCGCACCGCUGUGGCUGCGUCUGGCCAGGGCCUGGGGAAGCGGGUGCGCAUGCGUGAGCCCGACACCACCCUCUCCCUGCGAGACGCGAGCGUACGCAACGUGGCCGGCAGGGGUCUCCGGGGGCGCGCCCCGCAGGGAGGGACCUCGGCCCCACGCGUGCGCGCGGGCCGCGAUCUCGCGCGAGGCCGCCGGUAGACGACGCCCCGCUGGCCCCGCGCGCCCGGCCGCCGGCGGGGGCCCCCUCCUGGCAGCCGAGGGCCCCCGAUCUCUGGGGACCACAACCCCUGACCGCGCACACCCGGGAGGCCGCGACCCCCACCCGCGCAGGCCAAGACCCUCAAUCCUGGAGGCCGAGACCCCGGCCCUUGAGAGGACUGCCCGCCCCGUGGGGCGUUGCUGCACUGGACAGACCAACAGAGAAGCCCCGGAGCACGACAGACAUUCGGAACCGUGUUCAUAUACUGCAAAAUACGCACAGUGAAGCAGUAUAGUGUCUAGGUGUGUGUGGUAAAACUUUAAAAAGGCAGAGGAAUGAUAAACACAAAGUUCAUCAGUUAUGUUGGAGAGGGGUUGGGGGUGGGAUGCGGAAAACCAGGCGGGUGCUAGUGGUAACGUUCUAGUUAUCGGGUUAAAUGGUACAUGGAAGGAUAUUUCCUUAUGGUUUAUACAUAACGCAUAGGACGGUUACUCAUUUGUAUAGAAUAUGCUUUAGAAAUAAGUGGAAUCACCUCGCCUCCCAAAACAAAACAAAAGAGGCGGUUGGAGAAGGAGAAGGUCUUACCUGUAUUGCACUCGAUUUCCAGAGCAUUUCUGCACAUGUUCUGUCAUGUGCAGCCCUUCAAGGUAUUGUCUCCAUGUGCAAGAUGAAGAAAGGAGACCAAAAAUUCAUGAGGCCGGUGGCACAAAGACAGGAAAGGUGAGCGUGCAGAAGGUCAGCGGGGAGCCCUGGGCAGUUAAAUCUCCAGGGUGCCGAGCACUGUGCCUGGAACAGAGAACGUGGUCGGCAAGCACUCGUUCAGCGGGUGAGUGAACUUUCUGAUUAUGUGGGUGUCCAGGAGUGACAGGAGCUGCCCCGAAGGCAGGUGCCCUGCUCAGCGGCUGGCUGACCACCGUGGGGACCAGGAGGACGAGAGAGGCCACUUUGGGCAAACUUCGGAGAGAAGCCCCUCUGUGACUGUUUAUGUGAGUCUGUAUAUCAGAGGCUGAAGAUAAGACCAUGUUACGAUAAUAAGGUUCUCGCCUGCAGUGGGGCAGCAGUCCCCAGAGAAGGGCCAGGACAAAAGAGACAUUUUGAAGGGAAAGUUCAUAGGACUCGUUGCCGGAAUGGGUAUGAGGUGUGUUGUUGUUGUGUGUGUGGUUGUGUGUUGUCUGUGGCUCCCGGAUGCCGUGCCGCUGACUUCACAAGGGCGUAGAGGAACGUGGAUUCGUGCCUAGCAGGUGGUUUGCGAUGGAGGAUAGCGGUCAGGACGGGUGAGGGCUGACGACACACUGACACGCCAGGGAAACAGCACCUCAGUUUGAAUUAGGAGACCCGAUUCCUAGGCCUGUCACCCGGGACACGUCGCUUCAUCUGAGUGUUUGGUACAGAACGUAUACGCGCGACAAGAACUGAAAAGAAGAAUGUGCCCGAGCCCCUUGUCCAGAUCUAGUUAAAUCGACUCCUGUAGUUAAAUAUGCAGAUACCCGCCCCUGGAACUGUGCUUGCCUCCAUCGUCCCAUGAUGUUACGUCCUUCAUUCUGGGACUGCCACAUUUGUGCUGGAAGUGCUGUCUUACCCGAGUUUCUGUCCCCCCCGCCGUGCCUGGCACAGAGCCGGAGCUCGGUAGAUGUGUGUUGCCCCGCACAGAAUUGUGUGAACUAGAAAGAACACUCAUUUUCCCAAGCCCUAGGUUUCCUUAUUUGUAAAUGAGACUAGUGGACCUUUAAAAUUCUUUUGAGUUCUAGACUUCUGUUAUGCAACGAUGUUCUAUUGAUUGAGAAGACUGAACUAGCUGAUUGCUGAAUUGCUUUGCAGCUCCAGUGUUCCGUUGUGAUACUGAGUGGCAGGUAAUCUCACAGAAGCCGCGGUUGGGCGGGUUCUCAAAGGGAAAGCGUGGAGAAGGUUGAGGACAGAGACAGCACCCAGUUGUCCCAAACCAGAGUGGCACAGAAUGACCAGGCUGGGAAGCAGGAGGAAUACGAAUGGCAGAGUGUCAAACUGAGACGCCCAGAGGAGCCAGGCGGAGGAUGUGAAUGUGGGACGUGGCCCCGCCGUGUGAGGGAGGCCAUGCCCACCCGAGGAAGUCCGCGGUCUCUUCCAGUUUUUGAGAUGAAGCUGGACUCCCAGCGUUUUAUUUGAAAUCCCGUGGUUUUUACUGACAACCAAUUCAGAUUAUUUUAAAACUCUGCGCAGGUUAAAAAACAACAACAAACGAACAAAAAAGCCCUCCACGCCUCUUGGCCUGCUGGUCUCUACCCUCGCUGGCAUGGUGCCCUCAAUCCGCGCGUGCCCCAGGACGAUGUUGCUGGAAGUUUCCCGUUUCUGUUCACGCCAGUUCUCCGAUAGGCCAACCCUUCCCGAUACUCCCAGGACUUUGAUCAUUUAUCCCCUCCCUGCCUUCUGUUUUCAGCGUCUCCCUUUAUGCUUGUGUCUCCUUCAGUCUCGAAACAUGCCAGCGUCUUUCCACAUCCUGAAGACGCUGCUUCGUUCUCCUACGGUCCCUGCCAGGGCCUUUCUAGAAAGUUCUUUCUUUUUCCCUUCCACAGAUUUCCUAGCAGAAUCCACUGCAUUCUCCCUGUCUUCCUAUUGUAAGCCGGCUUUGCUGCUCAGCUCGCUGUAGUUUAAGGUCUGCCUCCGCGAUUCCACUGAAGGUGUUCUGACCAGGGCAGAGGUCUCUGCUGCUGAAUUCGUGAGACUGCUCCAACUAGGCUAAACUCACACUCAGAGACCCAAGUGGUGUCCUUUGCUUUAAUCUAUGACCUGAGAAAUGUCGCAUCGGUGUUUAUGGAACCAAACGGGAAAGUGUCCUCGAGAAAGAAGGACAGUCGGCACCAUGGGACUUGCAGACAGAUCAAAGUCUGUGUCGGCCACGCGAAGCCCACUGGGUUGUAAGAAAAGGAGAUUGCCACUAGCUUUUGAGAGGACAGUUCCGGCAGAGGCAACUGGAAGGUACGCUGCUGUAGUCUGUGAAGAAAAGGGUGGUGAUGUGAUGACAGACGGUGCCCAGAGGUGGCGCCUUGGACGAGUUUGGCACCGCGGGAAGCGACAUCAAGCAGGAGGUAUUGGAGACACGCGUGCCCGUCAGAGUCCCUGACGUUAAGGAAAUCCUGGCACGUCUGCAGGUAAAGCGGGCAAGCCAGUGGCACGGGAGAUACUGGAAAUGCUGGGGAAGGACUACCUGAGAGCCGGCCGCCAGGGGCGUCGGGAAGAACCGAGAAGUCAGCCAGUUGAAAGGACUGGUCCGCCUUGACGAGGAAGCGAGGAGUCUCUGAAGUAGGCAGAACGGUUAAAGGCAUGAGUCGUCAUUCUAUCCGGACUCUCGUGGGGGCAGCGGUGAUGCAGGAGAGCCCCGGUGUGCGUUUCAUCUGUGACACGGAAGCGACGUCCCGUCUCCAGUCACAGGCAUAGCAGAUCCAGGAUUGUUGGCCGCCUUAGCGACAUCACUCUGCACUGGCUGUGUCCCUUCCGCUCCCUCUGCACUGAUUCCGGGGGGCUCUGGCCUUGGCUGCCCCCCUCUCCUCGUCAGGGAAGUGUCGUCCCCACACCUGAGGUUUAGGCAGCCACCUCAAUGCUAGUGACUCCCAAUCUGUGUCUGUGACAUAGAUUUCUCUCCUGUGACCUAGAUCUCUCUCCUGAGCCUCCCAUCUAUGUGCCCAGUAUCUUUAUGACUAGAACUGGUCAUUUCUCCUUAAUUCUUUAUUCUAAUUUUUUAUUUUAUUAAAAA